GAUGAACGCUAGCUACAGGCUUAACACAUGCAAGUCGAGGGACCAGCGCGCGAGUGAGUAACACGUAUCCAACCUGCCCUUUACUCGGGGGUAGCCUUUCGAGGGAAAAAUUAAUACCCGAUAGAAAGGAUGGGGAUGCGUUCAAUUAGGUUGUUGGUGAGGUAACGGCCCACCAAGCCUUCGAUGGAUAGGGGUUCUGAGAGGAAGGGCCCCCACAUUGGAAGUGAGACACGGUCCAAACUCAUACGGGAGGCAGCAGUGAGGAAUAUGGGUCAAUGGGCGCGAGCAUGAAUCAGCCAAGUAGCGUGCAGGAGGAAGGCUUAUGGGUUGUAAACUGCUUUUUUAUGGGUAUAGGUACUAGACGAAUAAGGACCGGCUAACUCCGUGCCAGCAGCCGCGGUAAUUC
rnacentral:rRNA from 1 species